rnacentral:rRNA from 1 species
AUACAUGCAGUCGAGCGAACAGAUAAGGAGCUUGCUCCUUUGACGUUAGCGGCGGACGGGUGAGUAACACGUGGAUAACCUACCUAUAAGACUGGGAUAACUUCGGGAAACCGGAGCUAAUACCGGAUAACAUAUUGAACCGCAUGGUUCAAUAGUGAAAGGCGGCUUUGCUGUCACUUAUAGAUGGAUCCGCGCCGUAUUAGCUAGUUGGUAAGGUAACGGCUUACCAAGGCAACGAUACGUAGCCGACCUGAGAGGGUGAUCGGCCACACUGGAACUGAGACACGGUCCAGACUCCUACGGGAGGCAGCAGUAGGGAAUCUUCCGCAAUGGGCGAAAGCCUGACGGAGCAACGCCGCGUGAGUGAUGAAGGUCUUCGGAUCGUAAAACUCUGUUAUCAGGGAAGAACAAAUGUGUAAGUAACUGUGCACAUCUUGACGGUACCUGAUCAGAAAGCCACGGCUAACUACGUGCCAGCAGCCGCGGUAAUACGUAGGUGGCAAGCGUUAUCCGGAAUUAUUGGGCGUAAAGCGCGCGUAGGCGGUUUUUUAAGUCUGAUGUGAAAGCCCACGGCUCAACCGUGGAGGGUCAUUGGAAACUGGAAAACUUGAGUGCAGAAGAGGAAAGUGGAAUUCCAUGUGUAGCGGUGAAAUGCGCAGAGAUAUGGAGGAACACCAGUGGCGAAGGCGACUUUCUGGUCUGUAACUGACGCUGAUGUGCGAAAGCGUGGGGAUCAAACAGGAUUAGAUACCCUGGUAGUCCACGCCGUAAACGAUGAGUGCUAAGUGUUAGGGGGUUUCCGCCCCUUAGUGCUGCAGCUAACGCAUUAAGCACUCCGCCUGGGGGAGUACGACCGCAAGGUUGAAACUCAAAGGAAUUGACGGGGAACCCGCACAAGCGGGUGGAAGCAUGUGGGUUUAAUUUCAAAGCAACGCGAAAAAACCUUUACCA